rnacentral:tRNA from 3 species
GCCACCUUAGCUCAGUGGUAGAGCAACGGUUUCGUAAACCGUAGGUCUCGGGUUCAAGUCCCGAAGGUGGCUCCA